rnacentral:rRNA from 1 species
GACGAACGCUGGCGGCGUGCUUAACACAUGCAAGUCGAACGGAAAGGCCCUGCUUUUGUGGGGUGCUCGAGUGGCGAACGGGUGAGUAACACGUGAGUAACCUGCCCUUGACUUUGGGAUAACUUCAGGAAACUGGGGCUAAUACCGGAUAGGAGCUCCUGCUGCAUGGUGGGGGUUGGAAAGUUUCGGCGGUUGGGGCUGGACUCGCGGCUUAUCAGCUUGUUGGUGGGGUAGUGGCUUACAAAGGCUUUGACGGGUAGCCGGCCUGAGAGGGUGACCGGCCACAUGGGGACUGAGAGACGGCCCAGACGCCUACGGGAGGCAGCAGUGGGGAAUAUUGCACAAUGGGCGGAAGCCUGAUGCAGCAACGCCGCGUGCGGGAUGACGGCCUUCGGGUUGUAAACCGCUUUCGCCUGUGACGAAGCGUGAGUGACGGUAAUGGGUAAAGAAGCACCGGCUAACUACGUG